UCCACACUGGGGUGUCUCCUUGCUCUUUGAGAGUUCAGGGGAUGCACUGGAGAGGCUCUGGAGUCCAACGAACUGGAGUGGCCCCAGGUCGGUGCCCAGAGGUCUACACAGCCUGGCCGAGUGUCAGGGAGCCUCGUUUCCCACGACCCGGUCCGCUCGAGGAGGACGAGCCUCGCCUCGUGGGGCUUCCUGGCUUGGCACGCUCGCGUCACACGCAUCGCUGCUCUGAAGGGCAGGAGUUUGACGCUCACAGGAAAGAGCUCGCAGGUCUCCCAAGCCGCGGACCUGGAGCUGAGAUUGCAGAUCUGGGUCCUCAUGCACAGCCGCAGGCCACAUCUGAUUAGAGGGGCCACAUCUUGUUCCAGGAAGAAAUCUGGGCUGGUGCGUGUGUAAGUGCCUGGAGCAAGAGCCAAAAAAGACUGCCAGAAAAGUGGCAGGAGGAGUGAGAAAAAGAAGAAGAAGAAGAAGAAAAAGAAGAAGAAGAAAUGCCAGGAGACUUUCAUACAGACUUUCCCAUUGCUCCUCUCUCUCUCUCUCUUGCACACACACACACACACUCACCAUCUGAGUUGUUACAGUCUUUGGCUUAGACAGAGACCCUGCAUGCCUUUGACCCCAGCACUCGGGAGAUCCCAGAGGCAGGCAGAUCUCUGAGUUCAAGGCCAGCCUGGUCUUCAGAGAGUCAGAGCUACUCAGAAGCCAUCACAAAGAGAUCUCACUCGGUUCUAACCGCUGCUGAGACCACUUUGCAGGAGAAUCCUGAGCGGAGACCAUGAAGAUGGGCAGGACCACACCUUGGCCAGACUCCUUAGCUGUGCACGCACCUGUGGCCUCUGUCGACGCGGCUGCCCUGGGUGCACAUGUCCCAUAAGCCCUAAAGAGCCAGAUGCAGCUGUGUGGUGCAGAUCUAUCAAGUCUGGGGACUCACGUCUAGAGGCUUCCUGACCAGCUAGCCUGGAGUGCCCAGAAACAAGAGACCCUGCCCCAGCAAGGCACACCAGAGGAGACCCCGCCUCUUCAGGGUGGAAGGCAGGAACCAACGCCUGAAAACUGUCUUUGAAUCUCCAUAUGUGGGCCAUAGCAUGUGCACUCCCACACGCAAUAAUUAAUCAAAACAAAAUGCUCAUGUUGGGGUCCCCUGAAGGUGGACUGGGGGGCGGGUCAGUGAGCUUCUUUGAUCCUCUUUCCUAGGUGGCCACAUUGAAUAAAUCCCCGUUUCUAUUUUUCACUAUUAUUUUUAAAUCAAUCAAUUAAUUACUUUUUUUUUUUUUUGUUCGUUUGGUUUUUUGGAGACAGAGUUUCUCUGUAUAGCCUUGGCUGUCCUGGACUCACUCUGUAGACCAGGCUGGCCUGGAACUCACAGGGAUGCACCUGCCUCUGAUUUCCUGAGUGCUGGGAUUAAAGGUUUGUGCCACCACUGCUCGGCUUUAACUUUACCUGUGUAUGGGUUAUGCCAAGUCUCUCGGACCCCAAAGACCACCAAGGAGCCCAUUCUGAUGCAAACACAGUAGGGUCUUUUAUUACAAGCUUGACCUCGGGCCCACACUGUCACCAAUGCAGUGGUGUGGAGUGUAGAGCCCCGAGCUCAGGGGGAGGAGGGUUUUCAUUGGUUUACAGUGAGGCUUGGGAAAUUACAGCUUAGCAGUUACACAACUUGUGUAACAUUCAGCAAGUGACGUUCAGCAAGGGCAAGCUUGUUACACGGUGAUUGUGGCUAACAUUGAGUAAGCUCUCUACCAUAGACCUCAGGAAUGUUCCAUGCCAUGAAAGUUCUACUACCAGGUUGUGUGGGCUGCCUGGCACAGAUGCCCCACCCUGAGAUAAGAUGCCUUCCCAUUCUGUGGUUACCUCCAGACUAUUCCUUGGAUAGAGAAUUUUAUGGCCUAGUUCCUGGGACUAGUAACUUUUGGGGUGGGGGA